UGAGACCUCAUCUGUAUUACAAUAAAAAACAAAUUAAAAGACAGUGUUAAAGAAUAAAUAAAUAAUCCAGUGAUGGCUGUUACCAGUUUUCUCUAAGCCUAGGCCCAGCCAUGGCCGGUGGCCUCAGCCCUUGGAUAGAUACAGCUUAUUUAGGCAUUUAAACGCUGACACCUGUCUCCUGUUGUUUGAUUCCCUGCAGUCUGACAGAUUCACCAACUACCAAGAAGGCCCAGCUUCCUUGUGCUGUGUGUAAACGAGGCUUCCAUCAGCGUGGAUGCGCGCGCGCGCGCACACACACACACACACACACACACACACACACACACACAGGCUGCAAAGGGACCAGCCCUGCCCCCAAUUCCACACCCAUGGCCACAGUAAAGAAUGUUGCGUCCCCCUUCCCCGCCCCUCAGCCUCACACCCAGGUUCACACCUGGGCUAAUUUCACUUCUCACUUUUCAGGUUUGCAGAUGCCUCCCCAGCGGAAUCAAAAUGACAGAUUUAUGCCACACGGUGGGUUUGGAUCAGAAUGCACCCACUUGAGCAACACUUAGAUUCCCUCUUUCUCCCUGUCCUCAGCUACUUCUUGGAAGGGCAGAUGGAGAGCUAAAGAUUGUUUUUUUUUUCCUUGGGAAAUUGGCAGAGGUACGCUGAAGAAAUCAGCUACAGCUGUUCUCCACACCUGGAUAAAUUUUUAAUCAGAGCUUAACGCACCCUCCCUCCAGAACGGGUGGUCUGUGGUGCCGAUGGUGUUGUCUAUCCCGGGGCAGCUUUCUCUGGGACCUGGAGAGCGAAGAGUUUAUUUCCGUCACAUUUCAGCUGCCAAACUCUCCUUUAAAUCUAUUUGCUGCUUUGCCCUCCUUGGUUUGUGGAGCCCUGCAGAAAUCCAUUAUUUGCCUUUCCAGCUUCUCCGGUUGGAACUGAGGUUUCCAAAGGGUAAAAUGCAUUUUGGCGGAGGCAGAGCCCGGAAUCCUCGUUGUUUGCUGUUGGUGCCAUCCAAUUCACUGGUUCUGAAUAGGGGAAUUAAGUUAAUAGACAGGCAGAUAUGCUUCAUGAUUCUUGUAUUUCAAGAAAAAAAAAAAAAAAAAAAAAAAAAGGUGCUCUACAGGCUGUCUUUUUUCUCCCAGCAGGUUCUGAUUGAUUUGUUUGAGUUUUGAGCUGCAGUCAGGGACGGAGAAUCUAACUGAUCUACAUGCUACCAAAUAUUUAUGACUUGUGCAUAGAAUAUUGACUCAUCUCUAAUUUGCAGUCUUCUUGAUGAAAAGGGAAGGGAUAGGGAUAGUAGGGGCUCAUUAUUGUGUCUCUUCGGUGCAUUAGAGAGAUUAGAUGCCUGAGAUGUCCCAAAGCCUGUAUCGAGUCAGGUGACUUGAUCCUCAUUCCCAUGCAAUGCACACCUUACGAGGCCUCUCUUUCCAACUGUGACACUUGAAAUGUGUGUGCUCAUCUUCAUCGUGACUAUGUAGCCAACUCUUGGUGUUUUGCAAUGAAAAAUGGAAAAUUUAAGCCAGAUGAUUAACAAAAAGUAACAUCACAUGCCUCUGGGUAUAAUGAAAGGCAUCUGUUUUCACACAGAAUCUCCCUCUCUCUUACACAUACACUCCCCACUCUUAAAUGUUUGGAUUUUUUACUUUCCUCUGCAUCUGUUUUUAAUGCUUCUCAGCUGGCACCAUACUGUCGAUGACCAGGGGACCCACAGGGACAGCUAGUGACGUGCCGAGUUGACCAUUGGCUUGUGAAUGUGACAUGCAGGAAAUACUUUCAAGUUCCUGUCUGCUGUGGGUGCUGCCCAAAGUCAAUAUCGCAGAAACCUUCCUUGUAUGAGAGCCUCCAUCUAAAAGUGAAUGACAUCAAUAGGAAAGCUAGAACAGAAUGUAGCAUUUUCUGAGUAGGUAACAGAAUCCAUAAAGUGCAAGUGUAAAAGAAAAAUAAAAACGUGGGACCCCAAUUCACUCUGCCACAAGAAAAAAAAUUCAGCUGAAAGCGGAGUCAUGCAAGAAGGUACCUUUUGUUCCUAAGACAGCUACAGAUAAAAUAUUCAAUAUCCCUGCAGAUAGUUACCGUAUGUUCACCUUACAGUGCGCGGGGUGAAUACGUAAUUGGCUGUUCCCUUGCUUGCUCCUUUUCUCUUGCAACCUGUGCAUUCAGUCAUGUGACCACACCCUUCCUCUUUCCCCGCCAGCCUACUUUUCCCCUUUGAAGCUCUCAAAAUCAUCUUUGGAGAAAGGCGCAGACUACAGACUGUUUCUGGGGUUUCAUGUUUAUUUCUUCUGGGCGCGUCCCUAACCUUGGCAAAAUAAACUUCGAAACUGAUGGAGACCCGUCUCAGAUACUUUUUGGUUCACACAAGGAAAGAAACCGAUCUCAGGUCCUAGUCCCUCUGGAGAGCUUUAGAAGGCCUGUGGCUGCCAUGAAUCGCCCAGGUCUUAUAGGGAGGGCACAGAUGGAAAUCCAUCUUGGAGCUCUCAGGACUGCACCAGGCUCCGGAGCAGAUGACUGAAGUCCCUUUAGUUGUACUCAGGCAUUUUUUGUGAAAGAAGAAGGUGAGAGGGGAGAGCCAGGUUAGUUUGGGAAAUUUUGCAUUACACAAAAUUAAUCAGGUUUCUUUAGUCAUUAGUAUGCAGAUUGUAUUGUGAAUCUGUAAGAGGCAGAAGGAAUAGGAAGCUUUCCCCAAACUUUUUUGUCCUGAGAAUCUCUUUUUUCCUGGGGAUCUCUAACAUUUCAAAGGGCCCUGUGAUCCACAGAGCUGCCUGGAGAAAGCCACCUGGAGAUGUCAAGGAAGCUCCAGCUGCCAGUUCCCAGCUCCGUGGAGAUUCAUCUCCCAGUUUAAUGGGGACACAGCCACAGGCUUCAAAUUUGGGUACCCCCAUCUUCAGGGGUACAUGAGGACUUUCUGAGGCUACACAGGUACAUGGUUUUUGUUCUUUUUAAAUUCUAGGUCUAUGAUUUCCAUGCAUUCUUUCCUGUAAUUGCUAUGGUGAGAACUGAAUGACCGUGAGCCAUUGCUGCUGAAUGGAGCGUCUUCAUUCUGUCUCCUCUUUCAUAACAGCCGCUUCAGACAUCCUUCACUCUCUCCCAUCUUACUAGGGUGCAUUGCCCCAGGGGGGCAGAUACCUGGGAUGCCAGACAAAUUGCUGGAUUGGUGGCUUCUUUUUAGAAAAUGAAUGAUUCUAUUGACUAAGUAAUAAAUCUUUCUGCAGAUCAGAUGAUUUCUAAUUCUUUGCUUUCAUGAAAAUUGAGAGAAGAUCUAAUUGAGUUGUCAGAAAAUUAGAUCAUUAAAUAUUUUUGGUGAUAGAUCACUGUAUCAGAAGGAGCAUGAGUAAUUGAUAUUGCUAGGAUCAAACUGCUUCCAUUCUUGUCUUCUUCUUCUUCUCUUUCUUUCUUUUCUUUUUUUUUUGAGAUGGAGUUUUGCUCUUGUUGCUGAGGCUGGAGUGCAAUGGCCUGAUCUCAGCCUCCACCUCCCAGGUCAAGCUAUUCUCUUGCCUCAGACUUCCAACUAGCUGGGAUUACAGGCAUGCACCACCACACCUGGCUAGUUUUUUUGUAUUUUUAGUAGCAGCACAAUUUCACCAUGUUGGCCAGGCUGGUCUCAAACUCCUGACCUCAAAUUAUCCAUCCUCC
ensembl:lincRNA